AUGGGGACCGAGCAAGGGAAGGAAGGAACGGGAGCGGGGGAGGGGCGCGUGGAGGUGCGCACGGGGCCGAGGCCAGCGCUGCCGGCGCCGCAGCAGCGGGCGGUGGACGGGUUCUGGAGGGAGCGGCAGGAGGAGAUGGAGGCGACGGCGGACUUCAACGACCGCAUACUGCCCAUGGCCCGCCUCAAGAGGCUCAUCCGCGCCGAGGAGGACGGCAUGAUGAUCGCCGCCGACACGCCGGCGUACCUGGCCAAGCUCUGCGAGCUCUUCGUGCAGGAGCUCGCCGUGCGCGCCUGGGCGUGCGCCCAAUCCCACCACCGCCGCAUCAUACUGGAAUCGGACAUCGCCGAGGCCAUCGCCUUCACCCAGUCGUACGACUUCCUCGCCACCGUGCUCCUCGAGCACCAACGGGAGGCGCGGCUGGCCGGCCGUGCUGCUAUCCCGACAACGGUUCCGGUGACGGCGGCGAGGGCAAGGCUCAUCACCAGGAAGCGCCACAUGCCGGACCCGAAUCCUCCACGGCCGGUGCAUGGGGUGCGGAGAAUUCGUCCUCGUGCGCUUCCUAUCCCGCCGCCGUCGGACUUUCGCUACGUGCCGGUUCCAUUUCCGUUCACCUCGGCGCCGAUAGGAGCCGCAGCGAUGGCGGAGGGGCUGAUGAUUCUCCCACCCAUCAACCACGCGACUACCGAGCGCGUGUUCUUCCUGGACAGGAACAGCGGCACUGACUUCGCAGGUGAAAACUCUGCUGCUGAAACUAUAGCAUCUCCGCCUCCUCCGGCAGGGCCUGCAGGAGCAGUGGCGCUGCCCACUGUCCAUCCUGCUGCUUACUACUUGUGCGCUUACCCGGUGACCAACGACGUUGAGGCCUUUGCCGUUGGCAACACUGAUCCUGAUGUCAUCCCACCGGAGAUUGUAGUGGGAGACGUCGCCAUCCCACCGGAGAUUAUAGAGGGAAACGUCGCCGAUGGCAACGGCGACGGCGGACAGCAGCAGCAGCAGAGCGAAAACCUUGGUGGUAAUGGUGAGAGUGUGGUGGUGUCGCAAAGCAAUGGUGUGCAGGAAGAUGGUGCAGAUGGGAUGUUUCUGAAGGAGAUCCUCAUGGAUGAAGACCUGAUGUUUCCCGACGCUGAGCUUUUUCCGUUGGUGGGCGCUGCACCUGGUCCAGAGGAUUUCAUCGUCGACCAAGAUGUUCUCGACGACGUCUUCGCCAACCCGAGCAGCAGCGCAAGCAGCGACUGA
rnacentral:rRNA from 1 species